GGAGCGUGAGACUGUUGGCGCUACACCAGGCUUCGCGCCGCUAGGAGGACCUGAGGGCGUGGCCAAGGGCCAGGUGCGCCAGGUGACUGGCUAACCAGCCGGCGAAAGCAGCCUGCGGAACUGGAAGAUGUGAAAGUAAGAGGAGAAUUGAGUCAGCGCGAAUUGUUCGUGUCUACUCCAACUGGCCAGUCUGAAUGGAUUUUACCAGAUAAUCUGAAGCUUUCCUCUUGAAGCAGCAUGUCAAGAAGGAAGGAGCUUGGAUCCCUGAGUCACUGCUUGAAGGAGUAUCUCAAGGAUCCAAGGAGUACCACAUCGAGCUAUGAUAUAAACAAAACACUUUUAUUAUGUUACAGCAUUGGUAUUUAGAGGGUAUUUGUUUUAGCAUUAACUAUUCUGAUAAAAUACCAUUAUCAUUGAAAA